rnacentral:rRNA from 1 species
CAACGAGCGCAACCCUUGAUCUUAGUUGCCAGCAUUUAGUUGGGCACUCUAAGGUGACUGCCGGUGACAAACCGGAGGAAGGUGGGGAUGACGUCAAAUCAUCAUGCCCCUUAUGACCUGGGCUACACACGUGCUACAAUGGAUGGUACAAAGGGCUGCAAGACCGCGAGGUCAAGCCAAUCCCAUAAAACCAUUCUCAGUUCGGAUUGUAGGCUGCAACUCGCCUACAUGAAGCUGGAAUCGCUAGUAAUCGCGGAUCAG